CUCUUCUUUUCCUCGCCGGCGGUGAAGGUCACCGCCACCUACAACAACAAGACAAACACCCAAAGAGCAGUCGGUUUUAGUUUUUUUCUUCCUUGUUUUCAGAUCUGGUCUCGGGUUCUUUUGGAUCUGCUUCGCUGCAGAUCGGUCGCCUUCUUCUUCUCCUCCGUUUCAGGUGGCUAGCAGUGAAGAGGAACGACCGAGAAGGGGGGGUCGCUGCUGGGGUUGUUCAGGCUGUGGCGCUGUCGAUUUUGGUGGAGGUUGGUCUACGCCGAUGAUGGAUCGCGGGCCAUGGUGGAGCUAAACUGGAGGUGGUGGCUGACUUCUAUGGAGGCCAAUCAGCAGGGAGAUGAAGAAGAGAACGGGGACCUCCGGGUUGGAGAGAGAGCAGAGGCGAGGAGGUGCUCUCCGAUGUUGUUUCUUUUCAGCGGUUUGGGGCGGCGGCUUCUCCUUGGCUGUGGGUGACCGCUGCAGAGAAGAUGAAAGCUUGGGUCUCCAGUGAUGGAGAAGGGAAAGACGGAUCGGAAAAAAAAAAAACUUAGGGAGGUAGCGGUUUGAUUUC
rnacentral:lncRNA from 1 species